CCCUUAGAUGUUCUGGGCUGCACGCGUGCUACACUGAUAUUGCCAAUAUGUCAUUCUUAUCCGAAAUGGAUUGGGUAAUCAAGUAAUGAAAUUUCAUGCUUGGAAUCGGUAAUUGCAAUUUUAUCGUGAACGAGGAAUUCCUAGUAAGCACUAGUCAUCAGCUAAUGUUGAUUAUGUCCCUGCCCUUUGUACACACCGCCCGUCGCUACUACUGAUUGGGUGUUCAAGUGAGAUGCUUAGACCCUAGUUGCAUGGUUCAUUAUUGUGCUCCGAAAGGAAAAAGUUUCAAGCUUGAGUGUCUAGAGGAAGUAAAAGUCGUAACA
rnacentral:rRNA from 1 species